rnacentral:misc_RNA from 1 species
CUUGGAAGACGGCGAACCAAACACACACGUGCGCGUUACUUAAACCAAAAUCUACAAUGAAAUAGAAAGCUGAAACAUAGAAAAGAAUCCAUUUUAAACUCAACAAUCAAUUCAUUUGAAGAAGCAGCAGUAUAGAAAAGUGAAUAUUUAAAACGGAGCAAAAAGCAUCGCUUUCGUAUUUUUGACACCUGGCUCGAUCUGGAGCGAGAAAUCAAGAGCGUAGAGCGUAAAGCGACGAUAUAAAGAGCGCACAAAGGAUCCGAGUUACCACGUGCUAUCCACGCGGACUGGGCGUUGGACACGGACGAAAGAAAAAAAGGAAAAACGUACCAAUGGAAAUGGGUCUUCCCAGCCCACAAAAGUCAAAAGAAAACUCCAACAUCGAGCAUUCGGAUGCAGAGCCAGAUCUCAAGAGGAAAAGAGAGUAUCUUCGGAACUUCGAGGAGAGAAAAAACAGGCGAAGAAGAAACAGAUACUACAGUCCACUCGAAUAUUGAAAAAAUGAACUGCAAAUCCAUCCCAGAUCUGAGGACUCCUGAGGAAAUUUCUCCAAGUGUUACCACGUCCACGUUCACCCCUCAAUCCAAAGGGAAACACGAAAACUCCUUAAUUGGUAUUAACCCCAUUGACACGUCAAGCCCCAAUCACCGCCGACUUGAUCUUAAUAAUUCCCAGAAAGCUAAAAAUAUAAACACCCAGUCACAAUUAAAUCAAAGUAAAGUACCUAAUGUAGAAAAAAUAUAAUAUGUGUUCGUCUAUAUGUCUCCUCUGUACAUCCUGUAGAAAUAAAUUCCACCAGUAGAUAAAUUUA